GACCCGUCGUCGUCUGCCCAUCGUCCGCGCUCCGCGUCCACCGAUUCCGAAAAAAGCCUCCCUAAUUUCCGGAUCGCAACAACCUUGCGCCGCCGCUCCUCCCUUCCCCUCCCCCCGUGCGCUUCCCCCCAUCCACCUCGCCUUCGGUUGCUGCUCGCGCUCCUGAAAGCCACCGACGACCUCCUCUCACGGACGCCGUGGCCAUGGACCAAAGGUUCGCCGGACCUUUCCUCGCGAUUGCUGGACCAAAGAUUCCAUCGGUUUCUUUCUCCUUCCCCUGACGCAAGGCAGAGUUGGUUGGCGCACGUGGGUGGGUCGCUUCGCUUCCGGUAUGUGCGUGCGUGCUUGCGCUUGGUGAGGGGAAGAUGGCGAGUCGAGUGGGGCGUGGCGGUGACCGGGCCAACCCCGAUGCUGCCCAGGCGGGCUAUUGUGGCGGCGGCGGCGAGCCGUACUAUGGAGGCCGCGGUGGUGGACGAGCAGCGGCAAUCCCAAUGGCGUUCUACCGAGGACAGGGAGGCGGUGAGCCGGUGACCGUGCCGGUGACGGCGACCGCGGCCGUGGUUACUACAAGGGAGAUGGCGGUGGCCGUGGGUACUACCAAGCAGGCGGUGAUGGCGGCUGUGGCCGUGGGUACUGCCAAAGAGGCUGCAAGAGCCUGUACACUGCCGACGAGCUGCGGUUCAACACCAAGGAAUUUGAGGUCACCUUACCUGACAACAAGACAUGUCAUUGACUGCUUUCAUCGAGCUGUGUCGCUGACUGAUUUCAUUGGGGGAGGUUCUUAACAGGAGAGAUCUCAUACGUGGCACUAAUGGUCUUCAUUAUCUGAAGAUUAAGAAGGCCCUCAGGGGUCCGAGAGUUGUGGUCACCCACCAAGUAGAGGUGCGCAGGAAAUACCGCAUCGCUGGCUUGACAAAUCAGUCUAGCAGAGAUUCGAGGUUCGAAUUAUCGACCGGCGAAACCAAGCCUGUGAGGGACUUCUUUCGAGGAACCUACAAGCUGCAACUACGUUACGUUUUCUCCCCUGCCUGCAAGUUGGUACAGAGCAGAAACCCAACUAUCUUCCAGUGGAGGUCUGCAAUAUAUAGUUUCAGGACAGCGGUACCAAAAGAAGCUCGAUGAUAGCCAGGUUUCUAAUAUAAUGGCGACAGCCUGCCAGGGUCCAGCUGGGCGCGAGGCCUCCAUUCGCAAGUCUGCUCUGGACAAAAAAUAUAAUACUGCCAACGUGCAAAUGAGUUUGUGCUCUUCUUUGCCAUCUUGUACUACUACUUCUCUGGUCAGCUUGACGACGGCGACGACGAUGGCUAGAACAGUCCACGGCCUGAACAUGUCUACUUAUGAAAAUACAUCAAGAAAAUAUUGAAAUUGUUCUUGACACAAAUCACUUGGAUCCGGGAGGUAGGUGGUCAUAGCGCUAGAGGCCAGUGGUGGCCACGUAGGUUGCAAGCAGAUGAACAAACUUCAGUAGCUGUAUACUGACUGCUGAACCAAUAGAAUUUAUCACACAUAAGUAUGAACUGCACCAUCGCCCCCAUUAGUGAUCGGACACCUGACCAAAACACACAUGUGAGGUAUUUGAUAUGAAUCUACGUUGUUUGCCUAACAAAGUAAGCCGGCGCCUAGCAUAUAGACAGAAAUAAUAGCAUUGUUAGACAGGUUAAUAAAGCAGCACAAAGUUCAGAGCGAGAAAAACUUAACAUCUCCUAGCAGUUUCAUCAUCCAACUAGGCAUGGUAGCAGAUACAAGAUGGCAUUUCAGUUAUAGCAAUCCUUGUCAUGAGAUAAUUGGGCCAACGGGUUGAACCUAAUGAUGAUAUAUGGCCUUGGUUUGGGAUUAUAUUGUGCAACAUGAUCCUCCAGCAGAUGAACCAUAGGUACAUUGAUGAUCUGAAUUUCAGAUGCAGGAAUUCCUCUCAUAUUCGGAGUGUGCUAAGCUAUUCGAAUUUGAUUUUCAGGAUUACAUUCAUCAUUUUGGAUGUGCUGCCCCAAGAAUUAGAGUUUAUCAUCCCCCUUGGUGUAAUCAAUUCUGCGCUGACUGUGCACUUGUGCGUACUUUUCAAUAUUUUGUUUUAUGUAUAUUGCGCAAGUUUCCAUGACGUCCAUUAGAAGGUUCUUUCUUAAGAAGAACGAUAGAAGCACUAGAUUACUGGCAUUACUGUGUGCAACAAAAUAAGACAGUUUGAACAAAAGUAAAAAAUAUAUGCCAUCUAAUAGUAUGAUUCAUGUAUGUUCAAUGGAACCUAGUCAUGCAUAGCAUGCAUCGUAAGCUAAUCAGUGAGGCACAAACAUGUUUCCGUUUUUUGGAUGAACAAACGAAAUUAUGUAAUUUCAAUUUUCAUUUGAAAUACCAACAUAAAGAGAUUUUUUUUACUGAUGUGGGCUGUGAACUGUGUGAAUAUAUUUGAACGAUGCCAUCCUCAAGUAAGAUCUCUUUAGUACAAAAUUAUGGAUGUUCUUCAAAUCUGAAAAGUUGUAAGUUUUCUACACUUGAAAUGUGUUUAUUUUUGUAUUAUUUGCACUAAUCGCCACAUGGAUCACAAGUACAUGAUAAAUGGAAAUACUUCUUCUUUUCCGCUUUGAAUUUUUAGUUGAGUCAACAAUUUCGAAUAAAAAAUAUAUUAUAAUUAUUAUUUUUCUUAGAAAUAUUUGUUCAGAUAUAUAUUAGCAUGGAAAUUAAAUAAGAAUCUUUUUUAUUUAACAGGUACUCCCUCUGUAAACUAAUAUAGGACCAUUUAGAUCACUAAAGUAAUGAUCUAAACUUUCUUAUUAGUUUACAGAGGGAGUACAUUUUAUGUUGGCAACUCUAAUAUUCUUAGAUUGUUCCUUGAGAGACAGUUUGGCAAUAUGGAGAGAAGUUAGAGCUAAAAGUUGUUAAAAUGCGUCCUUGUAUUUUUUUUUGGGGGGGGGGGGGGGGGGGCAUAAUUGCAACCUGUUGUCAAUACCAGCAACAAACUACUCACAUGUAAGUAUUGAAGGAUACAUCUUGGAACGAUGAAGUUUCCAAUCCUCAGGGCAAAUGAUAGAAAACCAGCUGGUGAACAUAAUUGCAACCUGUUGUCAAUACCAGCAACAAACUACUCACAUGUAAGUAUUGAAGGAUACAUCUUGGAACGAUGAAGUUUCCAAUCCUCAGGGCAAAUGAUAGAAAACCAGCUGGUGAAGCUGCUUAUCGCCUCGCGUCGAACUUUUCAGUUCAGGAUAUUAUCUCCUUAUUUUUUGCUAUGUUCUGUUUAGGUUCAUUAUAUGAUGCCGUUUGAACAUUUACCCUUGUUGAUAAAAGAUAAGUAGAUUUAGCAUACUCCUUCAGAGGGCCGCGCCUUGCUCGGUUGGCAAGGUGGUGAGCGAUCCGAGUUUGCCUCUGUGAUGUGUGCUUAUAUUAAGGUGGAUAAAAUCUACCCCGUAACACGCAAAAAGAAAAUGUGGUGCAAUGAGAGAGGAGAUGUAGGGCUAUGUGUGGCACUGGGAAGAAGAAGACACAAAUCCAAGGCGGUGCAAGGGGCACAAUGAGAGCACCAUGGGUGAAACAAACCGUGGUGGGAGGGUGCCACUGGCAUGGACACAUCUAGCUUGCGAGAAGGGUGUUUAACAAAAUCUCAGUUUAGAUUGUUAUGAAAUUUUAGUUUAGACCAUUUGUAUCUAAAACUAUACAUGUUAUUAUGACGGCUAUUAUGAAAAAAAUGAUUUGGUAAUUAGGAGAAGAAAUUCAUAAGAUUACGUGCGUUGCACGUGCACGCUUACUAGUAUAAAUGGGUUGUGGUCGCUUUUUUUCUCUCUAAAUGUUCCCAGCCAGUUUUGUGAAGCUUCUAGAGGCUUUUGACCGUCUUGGGCCAUUAUGCUGUCGAAUUGAGCCGCCCCAGAAUUGCGAGCACAGCCGAAUCACGACCGAGCGCUGGCCUAGUUCUUGGGUCGGCCUGAGCGAGGCGCACGAGCGGUGACACUAUCCUCUACUUCUAGUAUCUUAGUUGGUAGUCUCCGCCGAUCAAUUUUUGUUUCACUUAUCAUGGUUUUUUUCGUCCUCCCUUUCACCUUCCACCUGAACCGACGAGCUGCAAAAAAAAAACUCAAAGUAAACCACCUAGGAUGCCUCUACUUACUCCCCUCGCAAGCAACAGAACCAGACGAAAAAAAAUCUACAAAGAAAAAUCAGCGAAAAAAACGGGCACGACCCGCACGCACGCACGGCAGAACGCACGGUGCCUUGAGCGACUACCUCCCGCACGCAAAAAAAAACGCACCCACCACCUCCGCUCUCCUCCUAGGGCGACACUGGGGCGCCCCCCAACCCUAGCCGUCACAGACCCCCACCACAACCACGCCUUCGCCGCCGGUGGCGGCGAAGGCGGCUCCUCAAAGCAGGGACGCGUCUCCCGUCGAAAUCCAAGUCCGUUCGCGCGAGCUUCUCCGCCCCUCGAUCCGAUCUUCACCUUCGCUCAUGGUGGCCGUCAGCUGGCCUCCCGCCGGCGGCCAACUUGAUCUGCGCGGCACUCGGCUGCCCGCAUGGCCUACCUCCUCCCCAUCGCGGCACUCGUUGGCCGCCGUUGGGCCUGCUUGCGGCGCACAGGUCGGGUCACGCGCGACGGCUACAUCAUCGCCGGAUCUGUCUUUCCGUCCGACUGCGACCCCAACCCCAGCACCCUCAAUCCACCGCCCGCUUCCCCCACUCCCGCUUGACUCCAUGGGGCCCUAAGGUCGAUAGCGCCGAGGAGGAGUCAGAGACGGCACUGGGGGAAAGAGCAGCGAGGCCGGAGGCCCAGACGGCGCUCGCGUCAUGUGUCUAACGCUGCUCGUCGACCCUCGUUAUCGUCCUCAAUCUAGCAUGAUGUGUGAAGAUCUGAGACAGAAAAGAAGAUGAAGAAUUUUGACAAAGAGUUGGGUCAUGGGGAACAAGCAGGGUUUAUUUCCUCGGUUAGUUGCUGGGUCAUCUAUGUCGUUGACUAUUAAGGUUACGUUCCUUCCCACUCCCUCUUUUGGUUUCUUCCUGUUGGAAGUGAUGUGGCCUAAAUCUUUCUUUGUCACCCUUUUGAUAUGUGUUCUUAUGAAAGAUAGUGAUUGGAGUUUCUCUGUUAUGUCAGUACACGUUGCAGCUUUCAGGCUGUUUAAUUAUUUUAUAUGGAAUACGUUGGCGUUAUAUGGAAAAUAAGCAUAUAUAUGAUUCUUUGCGUAUUUGCAAUGCCGUGACUGCAGAGGUAUCCUUCUCUGUGUACCAAAUAUGAUUCUUCGUGUAUUGGGUUUGCACAUGCUUGUGAUUACCUACUCUAUUUGCGCUGUAAUGCCAUAUGUAUAUGCACUGGUAGAGGUAAAAGAUAAAUUCAGAGAAAGAUAAAAAGGAAAGGACAGAGAAAGCUGAGGAAAAUGAUAUUUGGAUGGAUACAGUUAUAGUUUAGCUAUUGCGAAAAAUGAUUGCUCCUCUCCUAUUUAGUGAAAUGUGUAUGGGCUCUUUUAUGUAUGGUGGUUAGGACCAGCAACUUGAUUACGUGUAGUCUACUUUAACUGACACAUCUUUAAACCAAACUGAACAAAUCCAUUUUAGUUCUUCUAUUCCUGAACUUAUGUUUCCAUGGUUUCAUGGGUUCGGUUUGUGUUGCACAUCUAUGUGUCAACGACGACUAUCAAACAAGAAAAUUGCUCGCCAGCUAUAGCCUAUACAUGUCAUCUGUCAUGGAAAAUGAAAUGCUCAUGAUCACCGCUUGCUUUCAUGCCGCCACGGGCUAUUGAUCAACCCAGUGCGCGGGCAACUGAACGGAUCUCCAAUCUAGCGUCCUCCCUAUGGCACCGCUCCACCGUGCCGACCAGCAUUGAAUAUGCCAUCGAUCUGCCAAGAAGCCGCCUAUCGAUCUGCCAAGCAGCCGCCACGGGAUGGUCAUCCAGAACGCUAUCCUGCCUCCAUUCAAGCUCAGUUGUAUUGCCGACUGAUGCAACCAUGUGCUGAUCUGCCGGCAGUGAGCGGGCAGAGUUGAGGGAAGGCGGCCAGCUGCCUGGCGGGUGCACCGGCGAGCACAACGUGGAAGAGCCUGACAGCCCGUCCACUACCAGCUUAGUUGCUGACUCUUUGAUUGUCGUGCUGCCCCGUGCAAUGGCCAGCUGGUGAAGGGGAAGCCAUCGGAUUUAUAGGACUUUGUUGGCAUCACCACCAUGCUUGUUAUCACAAUCAGUUUCACUGAGGAAAAAACUGCCAGCGACGUCUGCCCCUGUGCUCAUCAAGGAUUCCACUCUCCCUCUCUCUGUUGGCUGGUCCUGCCCAUGAAUAGGAUAAAUCACAGCCGUGGGGGUGCGCGGGUCCCAGCCAUGCGAUGUCCGGUUGUCGGAGCUUGACGCCCCAUGGGCGACGGUGCUGACCCACCCCCCUGGUGCCAACCCCCUGUCGAGCCAGCAGCCCUGGGCAGAGGAAGGCCACCCAGUCAUUGUUUUCUCCACGAACAGACCAGCACUUGAUCGACGUCUUCAGAGUGUUGGUGCUCUGCCUUUCAGCAGCAGCAACACUUCAGCGAAGUGGGCGGUUUUGUUGGGACAACGGAAUCCGCUCAUCUGAAGUGAAACUGGGAAUUGGACGAGCGCUCUUCUACUCAGCUACUCGGACAUGCCCUCAAGGUCUCAGCUCAUGAGCCUCCCACUCUUCCUUGUGAAGCAGCAAAUGCAACAUACCUAAAGGUGCAUAAACUAAGGUGUACAUAAUUUAUUUUGUGGAGGAAGAAUGUGGCAACUUAAACAGUAUUACAUGUGAUGCCAUGUCGCUGCAGGGAAGCAUUCGCACACUCACGUUUGGCAUGUUCCAUAAGCAGACCUGUCGUCAUUGGUUGAGAUUUUGUUCUUUAGCAUAGGUUCAUGAAUGCCAAGCGCAUCCUAUCAACAUCAUCAAACUUUGGGCUCUGGCAGUUUGCUCUGUUUGUGAGGAUGGGUCAGUAGUGCGCUCACCAAGUGGACAGCGGUAGAAGCAACACUCAAAAGGAGCGACACAACAAAGACAGAGGACGACAUCGAGCGGAGGCUAUAUAGAAUGAUUGCAGGUUUUAACCAAGAAGUCCUCAAUAGGUGGACUGGCUCAAAAUGGAGAAGCAUGCUGGUAGCUUUUCUGUUGAUUGUAUUAAGCAUUUAAGUUCGUAGCAAUUCAUAACGUCAAAUCAUUGGGAUGCUUUGUAAUAUUUUAGAAAACUGUGUUUCUUUGCCGGAUCUAGCGUGCUGUCUAUAGAUGUGCUUACCUAUUUCCUUCUCACAUAUGGAAUGGGUUUUCGGAUAGCCUAGACAUACGAGACAAUUUGGGGGUGUCGAUUCUCUCUCUCUCUCUCUCUCUCUCAUAGAAUAAUGAACAACCAAUAAGACUAAUAUUAUAUACCUUCUCAUCA